rnacentral:rRNA from 1 species
AUUGAACGCUGGCGGCAGGCCUAACACAUGCAAGUCGAACGGUAACAGGAAGAAGCUUGCUUCUUUGCUGACGAGUGGCGGACGGGUGAGUAAUGUCUGUGAAACUGCCUGAUGGAGGGGGAUACCUACUGGAAACGGUAGCUAAUACCGCAUAACGUCGCAAGACCAAAGAGGGGGACCUUCGGGCCUCUUGCCAUCGGCUGUGCCCAGAUGGGAUUAGCUAGUAGGUGGGGUAACGGCUCACCUAGGCGACGAUCCCUAGCUGGUCUGAGAGGAUGACCAGCCACACUGGAACUGAGACACGGUCCAGACUCCUACGGGAGGCAGCAGUGGGGAAUAUUGCACAAUGGGCGCAAGCCUGAUGCAGCCAUGCCGCGUGUAUGAAGAAGGCCUUCGGGUUGUAAAGUACUUUCAGCGGGGAGGAAGGGAGUAAAGUUAAUACCUUGGCUCAUUGACGUUACCCGCAGAAGAAGCACCGGCUAACUCCGUG